UUGAGAUCGUAGCAAAGGGGUUAAUGCGAUUACCUUUUAAGCAAUAGGCGCAGGUUCGAAUCCUGCCGUCUCAGU
rnacentral:tRNA from 1 species